rnacentral:rRNA from 1 species
GAUGAACGCUGGCGGCGUGCCUAAUACAUGCAAGUCGAGCGAACAGACGAGGAGCUUGCUCCUUUGACGUUAGCGGCGGACGGGUGAGUAACACGUGGGUAACCUACUUAUAAGACUGGGAUAACUUCGGGAAACCGGAGCUAAUACCGGAUAAUAUUUCGAACCGCAUGGUUCGAUAGUGAAAGAUGGCUUUGCUAUCACUUAUAGAUGGACCUGCGUCGUAUUAGCUAGUUGGUAAGGUAACGGCUUACCAAGGCAACGAUACGUAGCCGACCUGAGAGGGGGAUCGGCCACACUGGAACUGAGACACGGUCCAGACUCCUACGGGAGGCAGAAGUAGGGAAUCUUCCGCAAUGGGCGAAAGCCUGACGGAGCAACGCCGCGUGAGUGAUGAAGGUCUUCGGAUCGUAAAACUCUGUUAUUAGGGAAGAACAAACGUGUAAGUAACUGUGCACGUCUUGACGGUACCUAAUCAGAAAGCCACGGCUAACUACGUG